rnacentral:tRNA from 2 species
GUCGAGGUCGCCUAGCUUGGUAUGGCGCAGGUUUGCUAAACCUGUUCCGCUCCGCGGAUCGUGGGUUCGAAUCCCACCCUCGGCGCUA